GCAUUGCUUUGUCUCUCUUCUCCCUGCACCUACCUCUCCCAGAAAUGCUGUCAGGUUGGUCUACACAUUCCAUAAAUGGGCAUGAUCUCCUAGAAAAAUGGCAUUUUGUACAAUUACACAGCAUACCAUAAAGCAAUUCAGUCUCAUCUCCCAAAUAGACAAGGAGUUGGGUGAAGUAUGAAACCUUUCUUCUUCAGAUAACUGGAAAAAUAAAAUAACUGGACAUUAAAAAGAACAGAACUGGAAAAAGUAGGAAAAUUAAAGUAAAAAUAGUCAAUAAAGAACAUUUUUGCUGUGUGCAACAGCAACCUUCUCUUUACAAAGAAAGUGUUAUUGUUAUCACGGCAAACUCAACUCUAAAAGGAGUAAGUGAUCACGUUAAGUGUUGACUCAGUUGAAGGGGAAUUCUUGUAAAAUGGCCUUUGUGAAACAGUCAGUGAACUGCUAGAUGAACUUGCAACAAACUAAAGUGUGCCUAUGGAGAUUCUCAGUCAUUCUGGUCAUGGUUGUCCCAAAAGUGCUUAUUCAAAAGGCAACUGGACUUCGUUUUUCCUUGAAGAUGUUUAAGCUUCUCAUUCAAGAAACUUCUUCAGUUGGAGAAUGGAAGGAUUGUGCUAUCCCAAAUGGAAUGGAACACUUAGGGAACAUAAUAUGCAAAUAUCCACAUCUGAAAUAUAGCAG